UACGGAGGGUGCAAGCGUUAUCCGGAUUCACUGGGUUUAAAGGGUGCGUAGGUGGGCAGGUAAGUCAGUGGUGAAAUCUCCGGGCUCAACCCGGAAACUGCCAUUGAUACUAUCAGUCUUGAAUAUCGUGGAGGUAAGCGGAAUAUGUCAUGUAGCGGUGAAAUGCUUAGAUAUGACAUAGAACACCAAUUGCGAAGGCAGCUUACUACACGAAUAUUGACACUGAGGCACGAAAGCGUGGGGAUCAAACAGG
rnacentral:rRNA from 1 species